GAUGAACGCUGGCGGCGUGCCUAAUACAUGCAAGUCGAACGAGGUGCUUGAGUAGCAAUACAAGAGUAUCCUAGUGGCGAACGGGUGAGUAACGCGUGGAUGACCUGCCCCAAAGUGUGGGAUAACAGUCCGAAAGGAUUGCUAAUACCUCAUGUGGUUAUCGGAUUUAGAAACUGAUAACUAAAGCAGCAAUGCGCUUUGGGAGGGAUCUGCGUCCCAUCAGCUAGUUGGUGAGGUAACGGCUCACCAAGGCGACGACGGGUAGGGGACCUGAGAGGGUGGCCCCCCANAAUGGAACUGAAACACGGUCCAUACACCUACGGGUGCGGCAGUAGGGAAUAUUGCUCAAUGGCGAAAGCCUGAAGCAGCAACGCCGCGUGUGCGAUGAAGGCC
rnacentral:rRNA from 1 species